GAAGGAAAAAAAAAAGAGCAAAAAGACAAAAAAAAGUAGGAAAAAUG
rnacentral:ribozyme from 1 species